UGGGGAAUUUUGGACAAUGGGGGAAACCCUGAUCCAGCCAUCCCGCGUGUGCGAUGAAGGCCUUCGGGUUGUAAAGCACUUUUGGCAGGAAAGAAACGUCAUGGGUUAAUACCCCGUGAAACUGACGGUACCUGCAGAAUAAGCACCGGCUAACUACGUGCCAGCAGCCGCGGUAAUACGUAGGGUGCAAGCGUUAAUCGGAAUUACUGGGCGUAAAGCGUGCGCAGGCGGUUCGGAAAGAAAGAUGUGAAAUCCCAGAGCUCAACUUUGGAACUGCAUUUUUAACUACCGGUCUAGAGUGUGUCAGAGGGAGGUGGAAUUCCGCGUGUAGCAGUGAAAUGCGUAGAUAUGCGGAAGAACACCGAUGGCGAAGGCAGCCUCCUGGGAUAACACUGACGCUCAUGCACGAAAGCGUGGGGAGCAAACAGG
rnacentral:rRNA from 1 species